GAAAUAUUUGUAUACGGGCAAGUAGUAGAAGAUGGGGUAUAUGAUCAAAGGGCCGAGAUACUCGAAGAAGAAAAGUGUGCUGUAAUAAACUUGCACGCCCAAAUCCUUGAACACCACAGUCAGAGUGUCAGAGUCUUUAUCAGCAUAUUCGGAGAGGUUUUUCUUUGGGUCGAGAACAACUGGUCUCCCCUUGGUUCCAGGUUGCAAGGGGAGGGUGAGACGUUGGCGAGACAGAUAAUACUUCUUGUUUCGAGAGUAAAUCGCCUCCUGCAGAUCCCGCACGCUGGCCGUGUCAUCGAGCUCAAUCCCGC
rnacentral:misc_RNA from 1 species